rnacentral:rRNA from 1 species
GUAGUUAGCCGGGGCUUAUUCAAAAGGUACCGUCAAAUACACAUCAUUUCCUAUAUGUAUAGUUCUUCCCUUAUAAAAGUGAUUUACAAUCCAAAGGACCUUCAUCUCACACGCGGCAUUGCUCGGUCAGGGUUUCCCCCAUUGCCGAAUAUUCCUAACUGCUGUCUCCCGUAGGAGUCUGGGCCGUGUCUCAGUCCCAGUGUGGCUGAUCAUCCUCUCAGACCAGCUACGGAUCGUCGCCUUGGUGAGCCGUUACCUCACCAACCAGCUAAUCCGACAUAGGCUCAUCCGAUAGCGCGAGGCCCGAAGGUCCCCCGCUUUCCCCCGUAGGGCGUAUGCGGUAUUAGCCUGGGUUUCCCCCUAGGUUAUCCCCCACUACCGGGCAGAUUCCUAUGCAUUACUCACCCGUCCGCCGCUCGCCACCAGGGAGCAAGCUCCCCGUGCUGCCGCUCGACUUGCAUGUGUUAGCUCGCCGCCACGCGUCAUCUGAGCAGAUACAACUACUGA